rnacentral:tRNA from 3 species
GGCGGAUGUAGCCAAGUGGAUCAAGGCAUU